rnacentral:lncRNA from 1 species
AUUCAUCCAAAGCUGGAACAGCCCUGGAAUCUCAGAGAAUCAGGAUCUUCUGUCUCCAGAGAAGAGGGGAGCUCUGGCCCCCUUGUAGGGAAGCAGCUUCUGGACUCUCCUGUCUCCCUGCAGCCAACAACCUUCUUCCCAGCAACCCCCGACAUACACCCCUGCCACCCUCAGUGGUUCCCGACAUUGAUGCUGGUGAGGCCCUCCGCAGGCUCCCCUCACAUUGACUGUCUCCACUCGACUUCAGGGUUCCCUGAGCCUCUUAGGGAAAGGACGUUGGAACAUUAGAAGGGCCUUGGAGGAUGGGAAGUGAGGAAGUGCCAGUUCCUCAGCACAGCCCUGCAGCAUUUCCUGGCAGCUCUGCCAGCCUCCUUACCUCACACUGCUAUGAGAGCCACACCAUUUCUCAUCGAUACUGCUUUCUACCCACCCACUCAACUCAGCAGUGAGCUCUCUCUUCCAGGAAAAACCAUC